rnacentral:lncRNA from 1 species
AAAGGGUCAUUUUCCCAGCCUGGGCAACAUGGUGAAACCCAGUCUCUACAAAAAAAAAAAAACCAAAAAAAAAAAAAAAAAAAAUUGGCCUUUUCACAAGAUGGCGCUGAAAGCAAAGAAGGAAGCUCCUGCCUCUCCUGAAGCCGAAGCCAAAGCGAAGGCUUUAAAGGCCAAGAAGGCAGCGUUGAAAGGUGUCCACAGCCACAUAAAAAAGAAGACCCGCACGUCACUCACCUUCCAGCGGCCCAAGACACUGCGACGCCGGAGGCGGCCUGAAUAUCCUUGGAAGAGCACCCCCAGGAGAAACAAGCUUGGCCACUAUGCUGUCAUCAAGUUUCCGCUGACCACGGAGUCGGCCGUGAAGAGGACAGAAGAAAACAACACGCUUUUGUUCACUGUGGAUGUUAAAGCCAACAAGCACCAGAUCAAACAGGCUGUGAAGAAGCUCUAUGACGGUGAUGUGGCCGAGGUCACCACCCUGAUUCCGCCUGAUGGAGAGAAGAAGGCAUGUGUUCGACUGGCUCCUGAUUACGAUGCGUUGGAUGUUGCCAACAAAAUUGGGAUCAUCUAAACUGAGUCCAGCUGCCUAAUUCUAAAUAUAUAUAUAUAUAUAUCUUGUCACCAUAAAAAAAAAAAUUGUAGCCAAGCAUGGUGGCAUGUG